AAUCAACGCUGGCGGCGUGCCUCAGACAUGCAAGUCGAACGCGAAAGUUCCCUUCGGGGGGCGAGUAGAGUGGCGCACGGGUGAGUAACACGUAGGUAAUCUACCUUUGGGUGGGGAAUAACAGCCGGAAACGGCUGCUAAUACCGCAUAAUGCAGCGGCUCGACAUCGAGACAGUUGUUAAAGCGGGGGAUCGCAAGACCUCGCGCCUAAAGAGGAGCCUGCGGCGGAUUAGCUUGUUGGUGAGGUAAUGGCUCACCAAGGCAUCGAUCCGUAGCCGGCCUGAGAGGGCGGUCGGCCACACUGACACUGACAUACGGGUCAGACUCCUACGGGAGGCAGCAGUCGGGAAUUUUGGGCAAUGGG
rnacentral:rRNA from 1 species